UACAGAGGUCUCAAGCGUUGUUCGGAUUCAUUGGGCGUAAAGGGUGCGUAGGUGGCGCCGUAAGUCAGGUGUGAAAUCUCGGGGCUCAACCCCGAAACUGCACUUGAUACUGCGGUGCUCAAGUACUGGAGAGGAGAUUGGAAUUUACGGUGUAGCAGUGAAAUGCGUAGAUAUCGUAAGGAAGACCAGUGGCGAAGGCGAAUCUCUGGACAGUUACUGACACUGAGGCGCGAAAGCGUGGGGAUCAAACAGG
rnacentral:rRNA from 1 species